rnacentral:rRNA from 1 species
UAGAGUUUGAUCCUGGCUCAGGAUGAACGCUAGCGACAGGCUUAACACAUGCAAGUCGAGGGGCAGCGGGGAGGUAGCAAUACUUCCGCCGGCGACCGGCGCACGGGUGAGUAACACGUAUGGAACCUGCCCGUAGCAGGGGGAUAAGCGGAAGAAAUUCCGUCUAAUACCGCGUAAUAACUCCGAGGGGCAUCCCUUGGGGUUUAAAGGGUAACACCGGCUACGGAUGGCCAUGCGGCGCAUUAGCUAGUUGGCGGGGCAACGGCCCACCAAGGCGACGAUGCGUAGGGGUUCUGAGAGGAAGGUCCCCCACACUGGUACUGAGACACGGACCAGACUCCUACGGGAGGCAGCAGUGAGGAAUAUUGGUCAAUGGGCGCGAGCCUGAACCAGCCAAGUCGCGUGAGGGAAGACGGUCCUAUGGAUUGUAAACCUCUUUUGUCGGGGAGCAAAAGACGCCACGCGUGGCGUUCCGAGAGUACCCGAAGAAAAAGCAUCGGCUAACUCCGUGCCAGCAGCCGCGGUAAUACGGAGGAUGCGAGCGUUAUCCGGAUUUAUUGGGUUUAAAGGGUGCGCAGGCGGAAGAUCAAGUCAGCGGUAAAAUUGAGGGGCUCAACCUCUUCGAGCCGUUGAAACUGGUUUUCUUGAGUGAGCGAGAAGUAUGCGGAAUGCGUGGUGUAGCGGUGAAAUGCAUAGAUAUCACGCAGAACUCCGAUUGCGAAGGCAGCAUACCGGCGCUCAACUGACGCUCAUGCACGAAAGUGUGGGUAUCGAACAGGAUUAGAUACCCUGGGUAGUCCACACAGUAAACGAUGAAUACUAAUUGUUCGGGGAGAAUGAUCCCUGAGUGAUACAGCGAAAGCGUUAAGUAUUCCACCUGGGGAGUACGCCGGCAACGGUGAAACUCAAAGGAAUUGACGGGGGCCCGCACAAGCGGAGGAACAUGUGGUUUAAUUCGAUGAUACGCGAGGAACCUUACCCGGGCUCAAACGACACAGGAAUACUUUUGAAAGGAGGUAGCUCUACGGAGCCUGUGUCGAGGUGCUGCAUGGUUGUCGUCAGCUCGUGCCGUGAGGUGUCGGCUUAAGUGCCAUAACGAGCGCAACCCCCAUCGCCAGUUACCAGCAAGUCAAGUUGGGGACUCUGGCGAGACUGCCGGCGCAAGCUGUGAGGAAGGCGGGGAUGACGUCAAAUCAGCACGGCCCUUACGUCCGGGGCGACACACGUGUUACAAUGGCAGGUACAGAGAGAAGCAAUGCGGCGACGCAAAGCGGAACUUGAAAGCCUGUCUCAGUUCGGAUUGGAGUCUGCAACUCGACUCCAUGAAGCUGGAUUCGCUAGUAAUCGCGCAUCAGCCAUGGCGCGGUGAAUACGUUCCCGGGCCUUGUACACACCGCCCGUCAAGCCAUGGAAGCCGGGAGUGCCUGAAGUGUGCAACCGCAAGGAGCGCCCUAAGGUAAAACUGGUGACUGGGGCUAAGUCGUAACAAGGUAGCCGUA